rnacentral:rRNA from 1 species
CCUACGGGGGGCAGCAGUAGGGAAUAUUGCGCAAUGGGGGAAACCCUGAAGCAGCAACGCCGCGUGGAGGAGGAAGGUUUUGGGAUGGUAAACUCCGUUUGUUAGAGAAGAGAAUGACGGUAUCUAACGAAUAAGCACCGGCUAACUCCGUGCCAGCAGCCGCGGUAAUACGGAGGGUGCAAGCGUUACUCGGAAUCACUGGGCGUAAAGAGCGCGUAGGCGGGAUAGCAAGUCAGAUGUGAAAUCCUAUGGCUUAACCCUAGAACUGCAUUUGAAACUUUUAUUCUAGAGUAUGGGAGAGGUAGGUGGAAUUCUUGGUGUAGCGGUGAAAUCCUUAGAGAUCAAGAGGAAUACUCAUUGCGUAGGC